AUACGUAGGGUGCGAGCGUUGUCCGGAAUUACUGGGCGUAAAGAGCUCGUAGGUGGUUUGUCGCGUCGUCUGUGAAAUUCCGGGGCUUAACUCCGGGCGUGCAGGCGAUACGGGCAUAACUUGAGUACUGUAGGGGAGACUGGAAUUCCUGGUGUAGCGGUGAAAUGCGCAGAUAUCAGGAGGAACACCGGUGGCGAAGGCGGGUCUCUGGGCAGUAACUGACGCUGAGGAGCGAAAGCAUGGGUAGCGAACAGGAUUAGAUACCCUGGUAGUCCAUGCCGUAAACGGUGGGCGCUAGGUGUAGGGGUCUUCCACGACUUCUGUGCCGUAGCUAACGCAUUAAGCGCCCCGCCUGGGGAGUACGGCCGCAAGGCUGAAACUCAAAGGAUUUGACGG
rnacentral:rRNA from 1 species